GGCUGGUCUGAAGGUAGUGCGUUAUCUCACUUAAUUGUUCAUAGUCAGUUACAGAUUGAACUCCUUGUUCUGCUACUUUACCCCUCCUCACUACUGCACUUGACUAGUCUAAA
rnacentral:Y_RNA from 1 species